rnacentral:lncRNA from 1 species
CAAAAGGCAAUCCUGGGGCAGCGUUCCUGAACAUCACUACUACCAUGGGAGAUUUGUAAAAAGAGAGGGUCUUGCCAGGCUAACCCUGAAAAUCUGAAUGACAAUCCUGAAAAUUGGGCUUCACUGACCACAUCACCUGAACUUCAUGCCAGAUGAAGGGCUGUCACACUGCACUUUAAUAAGUGUCGGAGUUAGGGCCAGUGUUAAAGAGAGAGCUUAAACCCCACCUGGAACUGCAUUGAGAUCAUUGAGCUCAAUCCCUGGGGUAUUCUGGGUGGUUUAUCCCUUUAGGGAAGUGGGGAUGCACAGUGGGGCCUUCCAGGAUGCCAUGAGGAGAAUACAGCUGCUUACCUUCUUCCUGGGGUGGACCUUGCUGGUUUCCAGGACGAGGAGGACGAUUGGGCCGCUGCUGACCUCCUUGUGGGGGUGGACCUUGCUGAUUUAAAGAACGAGUAGUGCGAUUCUGCUUCUCGUCUCCUUGUUUGGGUGGUCCAUGUUGUUGUCCAGGAGGAGGAGGUGGAGGAGGUGGAGGAGGCUUAGGCUGGCCUCCGGGUUGGGGUGGUCUUGGACGUGGUCCAGGAGGAGGAGGACGAGGAUGUGGCUUGGGUGGUUUUUCAGGUUUACCAUCACCCUCAUCUUUGCCAUCAUCCUCAUCUUCACCAGCACCUUCUUCUUCUCCUUUGCCUUCAACUUUAUCAUUGUCAUCCACUGGAGUCUCAUGUGCCAGAGCAGAGCCCUGGCGUUGGUCCUCAAACUCUGUGGUCAUAGCAAAGGACAGAUGAGCUCAGUGACAGAAAAUGCUCAUUCUCUUUAACUCUCUGACCUGGUCACAUGCUCUCCUUCCUCUAGACCAGCUUCUUGGC